rnacentral:rRNA from 1 species
AUGAGCCGGGAUCCUUCAGGCUUCAUGGUGCCGAGCGCGCACGGCGCCGGUGUUGAUCCCCUCCUCCGGGCUGAAUGGAUCCCGGACGGCAACGGAGGUGGCAUUACGAGGUGGAAGGACGCACCGCCGGACACCUUGAUUCCAUGCACCGCAAAGCAGAUAAAAGACAUGGGCACAGGGAUCAUUGACGCGUCGAACUAUCUCACUGCAACGGGCGUGGAGGUGACUACGGUCAGGCUGCUAGGAAAAAUGGUGAAUAAGCAAGUGUCUGAUAACUCCGUCUUCUUCACCCUGGCCGACGGGACGGGUUGCGUCAAGGCACGCGUCUGGUUCGAGAACAGCAUCGAUGUCAUGUGUUCAGCGAGCAUCAGUGAUGGCGUGUACGUCAAAAUAACCGGUUGCUUGCGUGCCGAGCUCGGCGUGCCCGUAGUUGCAGCCUAUUCAUUGAGUGUGGUAACAAAUUUCAACGAUAUCACUCAUCAUUUCCUGGACUGCAUCUAUGUUCAUCUGAUGAUGCAAAGCGACCAUGCUAAACGCGUCGUGCACUCUCUUGCUCUCGUCCCAUUUGCCGCAUCCGCAUGCUGGCUAGCACUGCAUGCCGUGUCCCAGAGCGUCGUCUGA